UGGGGAAUAUUGCACAAUGGGGGAAACCCUGAUGCAGCGACGCCGCGUGCGGGAUGAAGGCCUUCGGGUUGUAAACCGCUUUCAGCAGGGACGAGGCCGCAAGGUGACGGUACCUGCAGAAGAAGCCCCGGCUAACUACGUGCCAGCAGCCGCGGUAAUACGUAGGGGGCAAGCGUUAUCCGGAUUCAUUGGGCGUAAAGCGCGCGUAGGCGGUUUGUUAGGUCAGGAGUUAAAUCUGGGGGCUCAACCCCUAUCCGCUCCUGAUACCGGCAGGCUUGAGUCUGGUAGGGGAAGGCGGAAUUCCAAGUGUAGCGGUGAAAUGCGCAGAUAUUUGGAAGAACACCGGUGGCGAAGGCGGCCUUCUGGGCCACGACUGACGCUGAGGCGCGAAAGCUAGGGGAGCGAACAGG
rnacentral:rRNA from 1 species